UGCAGUCGACGAAGGCUUCGGCCUUAGUGGCGCACGGGUGCGUAACGCGUGGGAAUCUGCCCCUGGGUUCGGAAUAACAGCGAGAAAUUGCUGCUAAUACCGGAUGAUGACGUAAGUCCAAAGAUUUAUCGCCCAGGGAUGAGCCCGCGUAGGAUUAGCUAGUUGGUGGGGUAAAGGCUCACCAAGGCGACGAUCCUUAGCUGGUCUGAGAGGAUGAUCAGCCACACUGGGACUGAGACACGGCCCAGACUCCUACGGGAGGCAGCAGUGGGGAAUAUUGGACAAUGGGCGCAAGCCUGAUCCAGCAAUGCCGCGUGAGUGAUGAAGGCCUUAGGGUUGUAAAGCUCUUUUACCCGGGAUGAUAAUGACAGUACCGGGAGAAUAAGCUCCGGCUAACUCCGUGCCAGCAGCCGCGGUAAUACGGAGGGAGCUAGCGUUAUUCGGAAUUACUGGGCGUAAAGCGCACGUAGGCGGCUUUGUAAGUUAGAGGUGAAAGCCUGGAGCUCAACUCCAGAAUUGCCUUUAAGACUGCAUCGCUUGAAUCCAGGAGAGGUGAGUGGAAUUCCGAGUGUAGAGGUGAAAUUCGUAGAUAUUCGGAAGAACACCAGUGGCGAAGGCGGCUCACUGGACUGGUAUUGACGCUGAGGUGC
rnacentral:rRNA from 1 species